rnacentral:rRNA from 1 species
GCGAAAGCAAAGUCGACCGUACGGUUGACGUUGGAGGAUCUCGUCGGUUAAUUUGGGGGGCCUCGUUCUCGUCGAAUGAUCGCGGGCGCACUCUGGAGGUGUCCUGACAACCUGGUACCUGUAGGGCUUGCUCUGCGGGCGUCGGGUGGGAUGCACUGAGAGCAUAUGUGCUGGGACCCGAAAGAUGGUGAACUAUGCCUGUCCAGGUUGAAGCCAGGGGAAACCCUGGUGGAAGACCGCAGCGGUUCUGACGUGCAAAUCGAUCGUCGGAGGUGGGCAUAGGGGCGAAAGACCAAUCGAACCAUCUAGUAGCUGGUUCCCACCGAAGUUUCCCUCAGGAUAGCUGGUGCUCGAGCGAGACGGGAGUCUCAUCUGGUAAAGUGAAUGAUCAGGGGUCUUGGGGUUGAAACGACCUCAACCUAUUCUCAAACUAUAAAUUGGUGAGAACUCGGGCUUUUUUGAACAAAGCUCGUAGUAUGGAUCCACGAGUGCUAAGUGGGCCCGUCCUGGUAAGCAGGACUGGCGCUGUGGGAUGAACCAAACGCCGGGCUAAGGCGGACAAAUCUAUGCUGAUCAGACACCAGAAAAGGCG